CGCGUAGGGCCUGUUUUAUGUACAGAGUUUUUAUUUGUAUAUUUUUUAAGUUUAUUUUAUAAUAGUAAAACUAAAUGUGUAAAAUGCAUACAUUUGUGAUGGAACAAUCUUCUUUUUAUUUAUUUUUGCAUUCUUACACUUCAACACAUGUCGAGCACUCAAUAUGAAUGCAGACACUUCAAACGAGAAGGUGGAGUUUAUAGCAUUCAUUGAUAUAAUAUGCUAAUUUUCCCCAGAUUUCUAGGAUUUAAUAUUCUAGAAUUGGCACCAGUGUAUUUUCUGUAGUGGUUUGAGGGCUUACUUGAAUUCUCUCUACCCAUGCAACUGUGAUAUGCUGUGGCCUAGCAGAGGUUCAAUAAAUUGCUAUGUCUGGGGGAAAUAAAAAAAAAUCAAUCGCACAUGGUCGCUCUAAUCACUUGAACUUUUUUUAAUGGCCAUGAAUGUGAGGCACUGCUUAUAUUCAUGUAUUUGUCAUGGAAGACUUGGAUAUGUAUUUUGGCCUUGUUUUAGUGUAACUCAUGUUUAUCCAAGGCAGUGAUUUCUACCUAUUCUAAUCUUGUGAUAGGAGUACAAAAAUAUGUAAUGUGUGUUCUUUGUACAAUCUUCCACUGUAAAUCGAAUAAUAAUACACUAUACUUGUAUGGAGGUCUUGGACAUCUACUUGUUUUUAAUGGUCCACAUAAUGUUAACCCCUUAAAGGGACACCGUAUGCACUGUAUCUGCUUCAUCUCAUUAAACUGGUUAUAGUGUCUGGAGUCCCCUGGUGCCAUCAUUUCUUUCAGCAUUAAACAGUUUUUAAUGUUGUAAUGUUUUAAUGCUAAACAAGAGACCACGGCAGUCCAUCCCCUCUGUGCUGCUUUGACUAAUAAGGAAGUAUUACCCUGAGCAGCAAUGGGCAGCUGUGAUUGGCUGAG